UAUUGCACAAUGGGGGGAACCCUGAUGCAGCAACGCCGCGUGAGUGAAGAAGUAUUUCGGUAUGUAAAGCUCUAUCAGCAGGGAAGAAAGAAAUGACGGUACCUGAGUAAGAAGCCCCGGCUAACUACGUGCCAGCAGCCGCGGUAAUAUGUAGGGGGCAAGCGUUACCCGGAAUUACGGGGUGUAAAGGGAGCGUAGACGGUGAUGUAAGUCUGGAGUGAAAGGCGGGGGCCCAACCCCCGGACUGCUCUGGAAACUAUGUGACUGGAGUGCAGGAGAGGUGAGCGGAAUUCCUAGUGUAGCGGUGAAAUGCAUAGAUAUUAGGAGGAACACCAGUGGCGAAGGCGGCUCACUGGACUGUAACUGACGUUGAGGCUCGAAAGCGUGGGGAGCAAACAGG
rnacentral:rRNA from 1 species